AUUAGGGCAAGAAGUGGGCCAUGAAACCUACAGUUUCACCAUUGCAGUUUCAAAAAGAAUCUCUCAUCUCUCGAUGUAUACUCCAGAUUUUGAACGUUCUGAAUCUUUGAGGAAGGGCAAGGCGGUUGUGGACUAACUACGUUUGGAUUCGUUGGUUGAGAUAGUGUUCUAGGUUCAAACAUGACCUCACCUCUAGAGUUUGAUAGCAAAUAUUGAUCCAAGGGUGAACACUCCGUCUCCAGCCUGCUAUGGGUCAUCUUAUUUGUUCUUGUCCAUCUUUCAGGCAAUGAAACAUUCUUUAUUUACUUUAUGUUUGGAUAUCACUUUAGAUAUGAUCUUUGUUAAUAGUUCUUGUACGAUGACUUUCGGGUCUUGGAAAUUUCAGUAAGU